UAAGGAAUAUUGCGCAAUGGGCGACAGCCUGACCCAGCAACGCCGCGUGAAGGAUGAAGUAUUUCGGUAUGUAAACUUCGAAAGAAUAGGAAGAAUAAAUGACGGUACUAUUUAUAAGGUCCGGCUAACUACGUGCCAGCAGCCGCGGUAAUACGUAGGGACCAAGCGUUGUUCGGAUUUAUUGGGCGUAAAGAGCUCGUAGGCGGUUGCGUAAGUCGGAUGUGAAAACUCAGGGCUCAACCCUGAGACGCCAUCCGAUACUGCGCUGACUUGAAUCCAGUAGGGGAGUGUGGAAUUCCUGGUGUAGCGGUGAAAUGCGCAGAUAUCAGGAGGAACACCCAUGGCGAAGGCAGCACUCUGGGCUGGUAUUGAUGCUGAGGAGCGAAAGCAUGGGUAGCGAACAGGAUUAGAUACCCACGUAGUCCCUGAGCGGGCUGGCAAGGCGCAU
rnacentral:rRNA from 1 species